AAGAAAGAUACUCAUGUGCAUGGUGAAUGCCUUGGGUCUUGAUGCCGAAGAAGGACGCACUAGGCUGCGAAAAGCCUCGAGGAGUUGCCAAGAAACGCUAUAACUCGGGGAUUUCCGAAUGGGACAACCCUUCUGUCAUAAGACAGAAAUCCUUUACUGAAAAUUUACCUUUAGGGUAGAUCAUAGGUAAUGAGAAGGUAACCCGGCGAACUGACACAUCUUAGUAGCCGGAGGAAAAGAAACUAAGAUACACCUAAUUUAUUAGGUAAAGUAUUUCCUAAGUAGCGGCGAGCGAACGGGAAACAGCCCAAACUCAAGUUCAGAUCUAUUUAUUUAGAUCCGUUAAGACUUUGAUUUAUCAAAAUCCUAGCGACUUGGGGGUAUGGAAACUCUAUGUCUUAAGAUAGAGAAGUUACAAAGUUUUUUUGUAGGAGAAGCUUUCUGGAAAGCGGCGCCAUAGCGGGUAAUAGCCCCGUAUCCGAAACAAAAAAACCUUCUUGAGUUUUCCUGAGUAACACGAGUCACGUGUAACCUUGUGUGAAGAUAGCAGGACCAUCUGCUAAGGCUAAAUACAUCAAGACACCGAUAGUGGACAAGUACCGUGAGGGAAAGGUGAAAAGAACCCCUUGUAGGGGAGUGAAAUAGAACCUGAAACCGUGCACAGACAAGCUGAUAAAGCCCCGUCGUAUUUAUACGAUUGAGGGUGAUAUUGUGCCUAUUGAAAAAUGAGCCAACGAGUUAAUAGGAUGCGCAAGCUUAAGCAAUUAAGUUGUGGAGGCGUAGGGAAACCGAGUCUUAACCGGCGCAUAUCCAUAUUUAUAUGGAUUAGUGCAUUCUAUUAGACCCGAAGCCUGGUGAGCUAACCAUGGGCAGGGUGAACUUGUCGUAAUUGACAAGGGAGGCCCGAACCGGUGUAUGUGAAAAAAUGCUCGGAUGACCUGUGGUUAGGGCCGAAACGGUAAUCGAACCAGGUGAUAGCUGGCUCUCCCCGAAAUAUAUGUAGGUAUAGCCUCGAUCUUAUAUGGUUUGUGAGGUAGAGAAACUGAAAAGAACUUGGGCGCUUGCGUACCAGUUUUUACCAAACUCCGAAUGCGCAAACCUUUGAUCGGGAGUCAGUUCUAGGGAGCAAGUUCCUAGCGCAAAAGGGAAACAUCCCGGACCAUCAGCUAAGGUCCCUAAUCUUUGCUUAGUGAGAAAGAAAGUGAAACUGUUUAGACAGCUAGGAGGUUGGCUUAGAAGCAGCAAUCCUUUAAAGAAAGCGUAACAGCUCACUAGUUAAACGGUCUCGCGUCGAAAAUGUAACGGGACUCAAGCAAAGAACCGACGCUAUGGUUUUGUCAUAAUUUAUUAUGGCAGAAGGUAGGGGAGCAUUGAUGUCAUUCAAACUAAUAUUUUUGCUUGCAAAAACAAGUUUGAAUCUAGGCUGUGAAGGUAGACUCGCGAGAGCUACUGGAGCGUCAUCAAGAGAGAAUGUUGGCAUGAGUAACGAGAAGGAGGUGAGAACCCUCCUCGCCGAAAGUCUAAGGGUUCCUCCGCUAUGUCAGUCAUCGGAGGGUUAGUCGACCCUAAGGCGAGGCCGAAAGGCGUAGCCGAUGGAUAGCAGGUUAAUAUUCCUGCACUACUAUAAAACCGUUUUACCAAUGGAGGGACGGAGUUUGAUAAGCUGGGUCCAUUAAGGAUUUGGGUUCCAAGAGCAAGUUAGGAAGCGAUAGGAAAAUCCGCGCUUCCGUUUAAGGCAAGCUUGAGGGAGAGGUCCAUCUUCGGAUGGAGUAUUCAGCUGAGUUAAGCUUCCAAGAAAAGCUUCUAGGGAGGUUUUAUAGUAUUCGUACCGCAAACCGACACAGGUAGAUGGGUAGAGGAUACCAAGGCGAACGAGAGAACCGUGGUUGAGGAACUAGGCAAAUUACAUCCGUAACUUAGGGAAAAGGAUGCCCUAUCGCAAGAUAGGGGGCACAAAAAUGGCUCAAGCGACUGUUUAUUAAAAACACAGGUCCCUGCUUAACUCGUAAGAGGACGUAUAGGGGCCGACACCUGCCCAGUGCCCGUAAGUUAAAACUGGAGGUGAUUCCUUUACUUGUAAAGGAUGAGCUUUUGGUCCAAGCUCGGGUGAACGGCAGCAGUAACUAUAACUGUUCUAAGGUAAACAACGCGCUGCUUUAGUAAAAUUUGGCUAUAUGCUGGGAUAUCUGGAGUAUCUGAUACUAGGCAUUUGAUUGUAAUAAUUAACUUUAUUAUAAUUAGCUUAAUGCCUAAAAAUGUAUUCAGUGCAGACAAUCAGCAGGAAAGGCUAAGAAUCAUAGGUUGGAUAGUUGGUUUUGUAGAUGGUGAAGGUGCUUUUACAGUUAGCAUUUUCAAAAAUUCCACUGCAAAACUUGGAUUGCAAGUGUUUCCAGAGUUUAUUGUAACUCAGGGAGCAAAGAGUAAAGAUGUUCUAGAUCUCUUUCAGGAUUUUUUCUCUUGUGGGAAAGUAUAUCUUAAUAAAAGAUAUGAUAAUCACAGGGAAAACCUUUACCGUUAUUGUGUUAGAUCUAUUGGUGAUCUCAAUACAAUUAUCAUUCCAUUUUUUAAAGAGAAUGAAUUAAGAACGGCAAAGAAGCGAGAUUUUGAGUAUUUCUGCGAAGUACUUAAUCUCAUGGACAAAAGAGAGCAUCUAGUUUUAUCUGGAAUUGAAAGAAUCUCCAAAAUAGCUAUGCAAAUGAACCGAAAGGUGAAACCUAAAUUCUUAGAAUCCCCACAGACUAAACGCCGAACUUGAUAAAAAGGCUGUUUAUCAAGAAGAUAUAGUCGCAUCUGCAUGGCGACAUGCAGUAACGGAAAUUUGAGGGAAAUUCCGUUUGAAGUCCCUUCCCAUUAUGUGAUAUGGAAAGAGAUAAAGAAUGUAAGCGUAAUCCCUUGCCGGGUAAGUUCCGGCCUGCACGAAAGGUGUAACGACUUGAGCACUCUCUUAAUCACGGACUCGGUGAAAUUGAACUACCGGUCAAGAUGCCGGUUACCUGUUGCUGGACAGAUAGACCCCGUGGAGCUUUACUGUAUUCUGACAUUGGUGCGUAUCGUAAAUUGUGUAGUGUAGGAGGGAGCGUUUUUCAGCCCAACGGCUUAAAAAUGCGUCAAUGAAACACCUCUCUGUUUAUAAUACAAACCUAACUGUUUCCCGUUAUCCGGGAAGAGGACAAUGUUUGGAGGACAGUUUAUCUGGGGCGGAUUCCUGCUAAAAAGUAACGCAGGAGCACAAAGGUUCCCUUAUCUCGGAUGGAAAUCGAGAUGUAAGCGUAAAGGUAAAUGGGAGCUUGACUGCAAGACACACAAGUCGCGCAGAUACGAAAGUAGGUCUUAGUGAUCUUCCGUGCGCCUAAUGGUAGGCCCGGAACUUAUCGGAUAAAAGUUACCCCGGGGAUAACAGGCUGAUAGUGCCCGAGCGCCCACAGCGGCGGCACUGUUUGGCACCUACAAGGAAAUAGAAAGGGGUGCUAUCGGAGAAAUCCGAUACCAAAAAUUUGGCUAAUAACGGUGGAGUCCUAAUGUACAUUGUGUUAAUAUCUGUACAUGGAUAAUACCGUGGGAAGUCUAACAAAGGUUCAGAAAUCCAUAAUAACAGGUAAAUUGUUGGGAGAUGGCUCUUUAAGAAGGAGAAAAAAUUCUCUUCUGGAGAUAAAUCAUUCCAAUAAACAGAGGGAGUAUGUUUUUUGGUUGUAUAGGAUGUUAAAAAAUUAUGUUUUAACACCCCCAAAGCUACGAAUAUCUGGUAAAAAUAGAUUUUCGUAUAGAUUUACAACCAAAAGUAUACCCGAAUUAAAUUGCUUUUAUGAGGAUUAUUAUUCCUCUAAAGGUUAUAAAUCUGUUCCCAAAAAUCUAAAUCUAAACUCUUUGACAUUAGCAGUUUGGUUUAUGGAUGAUGGGUCUAAAGACAGAGAUUCUGUUUAUUUUAAUACUCAACAAUUUGACCUGGAAGAUCAGCUUUUUUUGCUGAAAAAACUAUCCGAAAUUGGUUUAGAAGGUUCUUUGAAUAAAGACAAAAACUAUUUUAGGAUUAGGCUUUAUAAGAAAUGUUUGUGCAAGUUUAACAUCUUAGUAGAGCCGUUAGUACUUAAAAGUAUGAAGUACAAACUUUUGUUAUGACCCCGUAUCGACUGAUUCUGUUGAGUUUUACUCAAUGGAAGAGAUGUUAGGUACUUUAUUUGAGUAAAGAUAAAGCCUUGCAUAAUACGCCAACUCCUAUCUCUUUAAACAUAUGGAUGGUUUAGAGGUAUGAGGAAGAAGAUAUAGUCAGUGUAACUAGUAAUAGUUAAUUAGCAUGCGAUGUCGACUCUUCUUAUCCUGGGGCUGGAGUAGGUCCCAAGGGUUGGGCUGUUCGCCCAUUAAAAAGGAGCGUUAGUUGGGUUUAGAGCGUUGUAAGACAGCUCGGUCCCUUUCCGCAACAGGCGUAGAGUUUUGAGGGGAGUCAUUCCUAGUACGAGAGGACCGGAAUGAACGAGUCUCUGGUGUACCAGUUGUUCUGCCAAGAGCAUCGCUGGGUAGCUACACUCGGAUGUGAUAAGCACUGAAAGCAUCUAAGUACGAAGCACACCCCAAGAUUAAAACUCAUCCCAUUUAUGGGACGCAAUUCCUGGGAGACUACCAGGUUGAUAGGCUGCAGGUGUAAGCCCCGUAAGGGGUGCGUAGAUAUCUUUAUUGUCAAAUCGGCUUUUUGAA
rnacentral:rRNA from 1 species